rnacentral:rRNA from 1 species
UAGAGUGACGACGUGCUAUCAUGCAAGUCGAGCGGACAGAAGGGAGCUUGCUCCCGGAUGUUAGCGGCGGACGGGUGAGUACACGUGGGUACCUGCCUGUAAGACUGGGAUAACUCCGGGAAACCGGAGCUAAUACCGGAUAGUUCCUUGAACCGCAUGGUUCAAGGAUGAAAGACGGUUUCGGCUGUCACUUACAGAUGGACCCGCGGCGCAUUAGCUAGUUGGUGGGGUAAUGGCUCACCAAGGCGACGAUGCGUAGCCGACCUGAGAGGGUGAUCGGCCACACUGGGACUGAGACACGGCCCAGACUCCUACGGGAGGCAGCAGUAGGGAAUCUUCCGCAAUGGACGAAAGUCUGACGGAGCAACGCCGCGUGAGUGAUGAAGGUUUUCGGAUCGUAAAGCUCUGUUGUUAGGGAAGAACAAGUGCGAGAGUAACUGCUCGCACCUUGACGGUACCUAACCAGAAAGCCACGGCUAACUACGUGCCAGCAGCCGCGGUAAUACGUAGGUGGCAAGCGUUGUCCGGAAUUAUUGGGCGUAAAGGGCUCGCAGGCGGUUUCUUAAGUCUGAUGUGAAAGCCCCCGGCUCACCGGGGAGGGUCAUUGGAAACUGGGAAACUUGAGUGCAGAAGAGGAGAGUGGAAUUCCACGUGUAGCGGUGAAAUGCGUAGAGAUGUGGAGGAACCCCAGUGGGCGAAUGCGACUCUCUGGUCUUGUAACUGACGCUGAGGAGCGAAAGCGUGGGGGAGCGAACAGGAUUAGAUACCCUGUAGUCACCGCGUAACGAUGGAUUGCUAUGUUAGGGGUUCGCCCUUUAUGCUUGGAGCUACGCAUUAGCAUCCGCCUGGGGGAGUACGAUCGCAGACUGACUCAUGAUUGGACGGGGGGCCCGCAACCGGUGGACU